rnacentral:tRNA from 1 species
GGGGAUAUAGCUCAGUUGGUAGAGCACUUGACUCAAGUGCACAAGGCCUUGGGUUCAAUUCCUGGCCCCA